UACGGAGGGUGCAAGCGUUAUCCGGAUUUACUGGGUUUAAAGGGUGCGUAGGCGGGUAGGUAAGUCAGUGGUGAAAUCUCCGAGCUUAACUCGGAAACUGCCUUUGAUACUAUCUAUCUUGAAUAUUGUGGAGGUAAGCGGAAUAUGUCAUGUAGCGGUGAAAUGCUUAGAUAUGACAUAGAACACCUAUUGCGAAGGCAGCUUACUACGCAUAUAUUGACGCUGAGGCACGAAAGCGUGGGGAUCAAACAGG
rnacentral:rRNA from 1 species